GGCGCCGGCCCUCCGAUGCUUAAGUCAGAGGGGGCUAAAAUGUAGAGGGAGAGGGAGAAGGCCGUUCUUAGUAUUCGGAGUCCCCUCCUUUCAGUGGAAAAAUUCUUCUUUUAUAGAGGGUGGUUGGAUUACCUGCGAUGUGACUGGGCGAGGUUACCGUAUGAUUGAGUGUGUUGUCCAAAUUAAUGCUCGAUCGCGUGAAUCAGUGCUUCGCCGUAAGAGGUCAGGUCGGGGUCAGAGGGCUGUCAGGGCUGAUCGGACGCGGCCGAGCAGACU
rnacentral:lncRNA from 1 species